rnacentral:RNase_P_RNA from 1 species
GGAGUUGGCCGGGCAACCGCGGUUUCGAGCUCUGUCUGCGUUCCGAUGGGAGUAGAUGGUGCGAGAUCGAGGAAAGUCCGGGCUCCUCAGGGCAGGGUGCCAGAUAACGUCUGGACGGCGUGAGCCGAUGGAAAGUGCCACAGAAAAUACACCGCCCAACGAAGCCAUUGGCUGGUUGGGUAAGGGUGAAAAGGUGCGGUAAGAGCGCACCGCGAUUCCGGCAACGGGAUUGGCAGGGUAAACCCCACCCGGAGCAAGACCAAAUAGGAACCCAUUGGUGCGGCCCGUACCGGGUUCGGGUAGGUCGCUUCAGGCGUUCGGUGACGUGCGUCGCAGAUGAAUGGUUGUCCUAGACAGAACCCGGCUUAUAGGCUGACUCCAUUA